GUUCACAUCAGGCUCCUCCAUGGACGGCAGUUGGUGACUUCUUGGAGUUUUUCAAAAUUCACUGGUUUUAAGACUGUCUGUAAAGACGGCCAGGAGACAGGUCAUGAGUCUACCUCUGGCUAAAACAUCACAGGUGGGAUUCUAACUCCAUCCAGAUCUUGGUCAGGUGCUGCCUCAGACCCGAUUGGGUAUGAUCCAUCUGUUUGAUGGAUCUCGUCUGCAUGUGUUCUCUCCUGCUCCCAAACUCAGCGGCGUCCCUCAGGAAGUAGAUUAUUAGUAAGGACCAUAUUACAUCACAGCUGUAAGACUGAGCAAUGUGCUGAAACUCUUUAAUAAAGGCGGAUGAGUUAGA
rnacentral:lncRNA from 1 species